AGUGCGGAGUGCCUACACCCGAUCCCAUCCCGAACUCGGCCGUGAAACGCUCCAGCGCCCAUGAUACUCAGGCUUAAGCCUCGGGAAAGUAGGCCGCCGCCAGAC
rnacentral:rRNA from 1 species